AUACGGAGGGUGCAAGCGUUGUUCGGAAUUAUUGGGCGUAAAGCGCGUGUAGGCGGUCUUUUAAGUCUGAUGUGAAAGCCCCGGGCUCAACCUGGGAAGUGCAUUGGAAACUGGGAGACUUGAGUACGGGAGAGGAGAGUGGAAUUCCUAGUGUAGGAGUGAAAUCCGUAGAUAUUAGGAGGAACACCGGUGGCGAAGGCGGCUUUCUGGACGAUAACUGACGCUGAGGCGCGAAAGCGUGGGGAGCAAACAGGAUUAGAUACCCUGGUAGUCCACGCUGUAAACUAUGAGUACUAGGUGUUGCGGGUAUUGACCCCUGCAGUGCCGUAGCUAACGCAUUAAGUACUCCGCCUGGGAAGUACGGUCGCAAGACUAAA
rnacentral:rRNA from 1 species